GAUGAACGCUGGCGGCGUGCUUAAUACAUGCAAGUCGAGCGAACGGACGAGAAGCUCGCUUCUCUGAUGUUAGCGGCGGACGGGUGAGUAACACGUGGAUAACCUACCUAUAAGACUGGGAUAACUUCGGGAAACCGGAGCUAAUACCGGAUAAUAUUUUGAACCGCAUGGUUCAAAAGUGAAAUACGGUCUUGCUGUCACUUCUAGAUGGAUCCGCGCUGCAUUAGCUAGUUGGUAAGGUAACGGCUUACCAAGGCAACGAUGCAUAGCCGACCUGAGAGGGUGAUCGGCCACACUGGAACUGGGACACGGUCCAGACUCCUACGGGAGGCAGCAGUAGGGAAUCUUCCGCACUGGGCGGAAGCCUGACGGAGCAACGCCGCGUGAGUGAUGAAGGUCUUCGGAUCGUAAAACUCUGUUAUUAGGGAAGAACAUAUGUGUAAGUAACUGUGCACAUCUUGACGGUACCUAAUCAGAAAGCCACGGCUAACUACGUG
rnacentral:rRNA from 1 species